ensembl:lncRNA
CGGCGCGCAGCCAGGCGGCCCGGGGGGGGGGCUCCUCCUCCUCCGCCCCCGCCCCUGGGGAGGCCGCGCUGGGCCUGGGAGACAUGUGGGCCGUGCGCCGGGCCUCAGUGGGCGAGCGGGCCGAGUUCUGGUACGCCAGCCCCAGGACGGCGAGGAGGAGGGAGGAGGCGAGGACAUCGGAGAGGGAGGGGGAGAGGGAGAGGAGGGGAGGGAGGAGGGGGGUCGCGGGAGAGGAAGAGGGCUCCGGGCUCAUGACCCAGCCCAGAGUGACCAUAGAAGAUAUCAGUGAUUUCUGGAGCGUCAACGGGAGGCUGGCGACAGAGCGGCCAAGUGACAGCAGGAAUGAAUACAUGUAUUAUUAAUAUUCUUCGGGCAACCUGCUACGUGCAAAAAAAACAAUUGUUGCCAACUACUGCAUUACGAUUGGUAUUGGUCUUUAUCCUGCGGACCAAUCACAACACAAGAUGUCUCAAUGUGUGAUCAAGUGUAACUUAAUUUGUUUUCAUGGUGUAGCCUGCAUGUAACAUGUUGAUUAACAUGCGGUAAUAUCUAUGUUAGUAUAGUGAUUGUUUUAUGUCCUGUUAUAUUGUGAAAUGAAAUUCUAUCUCCCAAGUUUUGUUUUUUUAAAUGUCUUCAUCUAAUACUAGUGGUUGCUACGGUAACAGUCCACUCAGCUCUACUGCGUUCAUCUUGUCAGGGCUGAGAGUCAAACGUUUCCUGUGACGCUCGGGACCUUCCGAGAACUGACCGGCCUCUUCAUGAACUAAACAUGACCGGCCGCUGUUGACGCAGAUAUCAGUUCAGGUUGAGUCAAAAGGCGUGACACCUGUCCUCAUCAUGUCUGACAAAACAGGAUGCCUACGUCCGAUUGAUCAACAAAAUGUUUAUGCACGUCUGUGUGCGUGUGCAUGCGUGUGUGUGUGUGUUUAUGCAUUUGUGUGUGUGUGUGUGUGUGUGUGUGAGUGCAUGUGUUUGUGCAUGUGUGUGUGUGUGUGUGGGCGUGUAUGUGAAUAUGAGCUAUUAUCUUUAAAACAUGUUGAAUUUAAUGGUUGGUAUGACUGCUAUAAAAUGAAGGCCCCUCAUUCAGUGUUACCAUUUGUCUCGAUGUGUGCUAGCUAGAUAACCAAUAAUAUAUAGAAACCAAAUAGUGUGUGAACACCACCAGACCGUUCUGUUGGGUAAACGCCCCGAACCACCGGCGGAACUUAAAACGGAAACCUGAGGGCAGAACGCGACACUACAACGUUUUUUUUCAGGAGUUGCGAUCAGCCUACAUUUUUAUACCCACAAAAUGAACUUUGUGUUGUGUCCAUUGGUACAAGGUUAAAGAGUCAAUGGGAUUCAGGGUAUACUUUACUGAGCACAAGGAAAACGCUUACUAUCGCUGGUGCUCUGCUCAAAGAUAGAAAUAAUACUUAUACAAAUAAAAAUAAAUACCUAAAAACUAAAAUAACAGCAAAUAUAACUGUAAGGAAAAGUUGAAAUAUAAAGAAUAACAAUGUGUACACCAAAUGUACAGGAUAUAUAUGCAAUGUUUACUAACAUUUAGAGGUACUCUUCCAUCCACAAUAUGAUGUAUUUGCAAGUAAAAUGUGUAUACGUUAGUGACAGAAGAGAAGAAAAGGGGAAUGCAAUUUAAAGCUUUGUUUCGUUUUGCCUCAAAUUAUUUUUGAAUCGUCUUUUUAAUUAUUGAAUAGGUGAAUAAAAAAAUAAAAAAUACAAAAAAAGUAAGCCUUGAUAUGCAUUCACAGGCCAAAGGCAAAGCUGACCCCAGCCACCGGCCUUAUCUUCGAUUCGCAGGAAACUUGGUAUCAAUGAGAUCCCUUAUCCAUUUUAGAGAGAAUCUGAGUCACGGUUUGACAUUAAAUGCCGCUCAUGAAGUAAGACAACUUUAUUUAUAUUGCGCUUUUAACACAAGAGGCAGACUCAGAGUGCUUCACGUAGAAACAUUGUCGUACAAUAAAAUGAAAUAAUCAAAUAAAAUAGAUAAGGAAAAUUAAAGGUAAAUGAGUGCUUCUGCAUCCCCUAUAGCAAUGUUUUUGCAUUCUGCACCAAACCUUGAUCACUUGUUCAGCUGGGGAUGCCAUCUCUGUGCAUACUAACUUCAUCAAGUUCAUCUAGGGACUUUUGAAGUGGACUUCGGAUGGAAAGAAUAAUGAAAAUUUUGAUUUCCACAUAAGUCAGUUCUUUUUUAAUUUUAUUAAGAGGCCUUAUAUACAUUUCAAUUAGAUGUAUCCAAAUAACAUCUACAUCAAAUGGUGUAUAAUUUAGACAGGUUGUUACUUUUGAUGUACAUCAAAAUGUAUCGAGGUGCAUCUUACAGCUACAGGAAGAAAACAUCUUCAGCAUGUUAACCAAGGCCUUUGUACCGACUUUCAGAAACGGUCGUCCAUCAGUGCUGAUCGUUUCACUCUGACCACAAAUUAUAGCGCGCCCGUUGGCGAAGCUUUCACAAACCUUUAAAAGACCUGCCCUCCAGGAUGCAUUUAACUUGAGACACCUUUUCUCGUAUACCCCAUUAUAACAAUCGUUAUCGACAGACACUGUUAAUACCUAUUUGAAUAUAUUCCCCCCCUUGACAUCUGCUGUGAUUCCAGUGAAGUUCUUUUACAUUCGGACUGUGGUAGGAGGUUGUAUUGGUGCGAGUUCCAGCAUUAGUGUUGUGGAAGCUACUCUAUAGAUGUACAAUGUAUGAAUUAUAUACUUUACAGGUUGAGGAACAGCUAAACAUGCAACAAUGUUAAAGUAAGAGUCUUCACAAAAACAACGAAUGAAACAAAACAACACUGAAGAUAUGCUGUUUAAACGGUGUUUGUGGCAUGAAACAACAAAAUAAAAAAGAUUUUCGUAACUGUCGUAUAACGCCCAUGACAGUCUCCACCAUGUCUAACGUUGCGUCAUGUUUUGCUGACAAACAGAAACAUUACAUGCAGAAUUGGGUUCCGUGUAAAGAUCAACUUCUCCUUUUGAAGUGUGGGACCAACAGUCAAUAUAAGAGCAUCAACAGAUCUCUUUCCUCUCAUUACUCACUCUACCUCAACUUGCACAUAGUGAAACAGGGCGCGGCAUUGUGAGGACACAGGGGCGAGAGAGAGGGAGAGAGAGAGAGAGAGAGAGAGAGAGAGAGAGAGAGAGAGAGAAAAGAGAAGUAUGAGCAGCGGUGCACGGUAACACACAGAGACACGUGCACACUGAAGUGCGUUGGGCUGUGUCUUGAUGAGCUCGGUGAUUCAACUUUUCUGCAAUCGAAGACUUUGGGGGCCACAGGACCGCCUGGUUGAUGACAGUGUCGAGGUUCUGAGCCCGGUCCCCGACAAAGGCGCCUCUAAAAAUAAGAAGAAAGGUGAAGGAGGGAGGAACUCUAGAGUCUUUUCCGGCCCCGUCGGUGCUCAAACGCUGUCGAAUCCGAUUGUUGCCACGAUAGUAGGCCUUCCCGGUGCCAGGUCGGCAUGACGCUUUGCUGUGCUGAGAAGAUACCGAACUUUACUCUCUAACUCCUGACAGAGAGAGAGAGAGAGAGAGAGAGAGAGAGAGAGAGAGAGAGAGAGAGAGAGAGAGAGAGAGAGAGAGAGAGAGAGAGGAGAGAGAGAGAGAGAGAGAGAGAGAGAGAGAGAGAGAGAGAGAGAGAGGUGCAACAAUUGCCGAAGGAACACUGCAAAAGGACUUAAACGCUUAAACAAGGAGGAGAAGAUCAGACUUUUUACAGAAUUCGUUGACUACGUCUAAUCAUGUUGUCUGCAAAUGCAGGUUGGUUUCUUUCCCCGCUUCGAAUUCUGCUUCCACUUCUCGCUGUCCCCUUCCUCCUUACACCAGAGGCCGAUCUUACCAUCUCAACUGCAAUCAUCCCUAACACCAAGGAACCGUUCAUGCAAAAUGGCCGACCAACGAUCGGUACGACCGGACUGCCCACCAUGGUUACUGUACCGAGUGAAGAACCAACCACAAGUCUAGGAGUCCAAAGGAUACAGGCCCAGGGGCCUGAGUCACCCUCUACAACGCCCUGGCAAGCUACUCUCCAGAGGUCAGAGAACCACACCGAGGCAACGACCCCCGCCGGCACUAGUUUAGAUACCACAUCCCAUGUUCCCGAGGCUGAGGCCUCGCCCACGGCGAGCUAUCACACGGAGGCUCUUGUGAGGUCAACCAGCGCAAGGCUUGAGUCAACGGAGGCAGCAGCGGUAGUCUCUGAGGCCACCACAGCCUACGCCACACCCAUCCUCGCAACCACCGACACCAGCCCCGGGCUCGCAGCCGCGACGACCUCAGGCUCUCAAACCCUCCGCUCCUCUGAGGCCUUCGCCACGUCUCGCAGCAGCGCGGCGACUCCGGAUACGCCCACGCCCACGCGACCCCCCGCCGCCACCGUCGGGGGGCGGAGGUUCUUCUCCGUCCUCACGACCCCCUCCCCCGGCUCCCCCCCCGUCGAGCCAGACUCCAGCGGCGAUUGGUCCGCUCGGCCGGCCCUCGUCCCCGUGAACCUGACCCCUACCCCGGGGGCGCAGAAGUUCCCCGUCCUCUGGACCGCGCUGGUGGUCCUGCUGGCCGUGGCCGCCCUGGUGGUCGCCCUCUGCCUGUGCUUGUGUGUCAGGCGGAGGAUAAAGCGGAGCCGGGUGCUUCACUUCGGGAGCCGCGGCUCCAAGAAGAACAAAGGGAAGGAGGGCGACGCCUGGGCCGGCCCGGUGGCCAUGAGCAGCAUGGCUGCCACGGCGACGGCGAGGGAGGAGGCGGGGGAGGAGGAGGAAGAGAAGAGGAAGGGCGGGGGGGAGGAGGAGGUGCUGCUGAGCACCUUUGGGGUGGACGGGACGGGGAGAAGCUCCCCCAACGGGAGGAGGGGAGCGGGGAGGGCAGAGGAACCACCGAUGUUGUUCAUCGAUGAAGACGAGGUGGAGGGGGAGGCAAAAGAUGGAGCAAACAAGCUGGAGGGCGGAGGAGGAGGAGGAGAGGUGGAGGAGAAGGGGAAGGAGAAGGAUGGUAAAGGACUCAAUGGGAAUGAACAGACGAAUGGAGGCACUUCAUUCUCCUACAUCACGGCGGUCUGAGGACUGUGCUACUAGGAUGGAACGUGAUGAUGAUGUUGCAGCAGACUGGUAUUUUUCGAUUGGACUUCUACUUGCUGAAACCUGAAUUGCCUCUGUACAUAGCCGUACACCUCUAGUUCUGUAUAUAGUGCUUUUCGUGCUUCGAAAUGCUUAUUUUUCACUUAAACUUGGGGAAGACCCUUUACAAUUUUUUAUCAGAUAGAAAUCAUGGGUGUCAAAUGCUCUUAUUACAAUCCUUUCUAGUUUUGUAUUAAUACAUUGAAUAAAAGCAAUGCGUAUUUACUCAAGAUCCAUGCAAACUUUUAUAUCGACUUUAUUGACAGCCUUCUGUACUUUGUAUAGAGUUUUGCUUUAGAGUCUUUUUCGUUUCUUUUUUAAUGCAAGUAGGCCUCAUAAUUCAUAAAAGAAUAUGCAAUUAUUAUGAAAGAGCAUUGUCAAAUUGAAAAUGUAUUGAUUAUAGUUGAAAGAAAGAAAGAAAAAAGAGCUUUCAUGAAUAAAAUAUAAUACUGCGAUACAGCAAGAGUAACCUGAUGCUAAGGUAUAUUUUUUGUCACAAAAUAGUAGUCUUAAUGUCAAAGGUUUUUCACAGAUUACUGAUCAGCCUAAAUUUUCCCCAUUUUUCCUAUUUACAUCCAAGCAAAAAGUCGGAAAAAACUGUGUCUCUGCUUCCCACAUUGCCGCCCAAAAUGCUGGUAUGAUUAUGAAUAAAGUAUUUCAGACCGUGUGGGAGUGUGUGUGGAUGAUGGCUGGUUUAGGAAGUACUCUGGUGUGAUUUAUUUGUGAGACUGUCAAUAUGCUUAAUAUUUUGAGUAAUAUUCAUGUUCAUAUUCAUGCAAUAUUAAUGUUAAGCAUAUUGACAGUCUCACUUCGACGGUCGAUCUUUGAAUAUUGAUAACAGUGUGUACUUUUUUUUUUUUUUAAGUAGGCCUACUUCCGUCGCGCCUGGGUUGGUGUUGUCACGCCAUGGUGUGGUUCUCCGGGCUGCAGCUGGACCCUACUCGGUUUAGGCAGCGUCGGACUCGGGCUCGGCUGGGGCUACAACUGUGCACAUUGAGUAAUCAGUGUACAGAGGUUAAACCAGCCGUGUCCACCCUCUACUAUGGCAACACGGAGCACCAGGCCAUGUAUCAGCCUUACAAUAAACCGGCUUCAACGUCAGCUCCGUGCCUGUGUCCGGGGUUUGUAGAAGCCUAAAUAAGGCAACCUAGGUUGCGUGUGGAAUGCCGCAUAUUCAUCGCUACACACAGUAGUUGGUAAAUACCCUUUGGUUGAACUCAUAUUUAAAUCACUUAAUUUUUAUUUUAAAAACGACAGGGAGUUUUGGUGUAAAACAAAAUCCUUAUCUAAAUUAAACUAAGAUUAGCUUUCCCCCCCAUAUUUCGUGUGCUCCUGUAUAAAAUGUUGUUUGGCGACGGCAUGAUUUGCUUACGGCCAUACCACCCUGAACACGCCCGAUCUCGUCGGAUCUCGGAAGCUAAGCAGGGUCGGGCCUGAUCUCUACUUGGAUGGGAGACCGCCUGGGAAUACCAGGUGCUGUAAGCUUUUUCUUUUUCAACUCGGGCUCAUUGCCUCCAAUAGCCUACCGUCGCCUGAUCUUCACAGCCGACCGUUUGGGAGAAUUUAAGCAAC